GGGUGUGAGGGCACUCUGGCUGCAACAUCUGUCACCCCAUUGGUCGCCAGGGUUGAUGCGGCUGGGCUGAUCUGGCUGGCUAGAUGGGUGUCCUCUUCCUCCCUCACCACUCCAUGUGUGGCCCUCUGGAAACUGCAUGCUUGGUCAAAUAGAGUCCGAAUAGAGUCGGACUGGUCUUCAGUCAAGGGUAUCCGAGUAGCUGCGCUCCCCUGCUAGAACCUCCAAACAAGCCCUCAAAGUCUAAAUGUAACAUAAAGGGACAGUCCUCUUCAGAUUCCUUUCAAUUCAUGGGAACAGAUACUAAUGUAGGUCUUUUUUGCUAU
rnacentral:snRNA from 1 species